AAAGCGUGCGCAGGCGGCUUUGCAAGACAGAUGUGAAAUCCCCGGGCUCAACCUGGGAACUGCAUUUGUGACUGCAAGGCUAGAGUACGGCAGAGGGGGAUGGAAUUCCGCGUGUAGCAGUGAAAUGCGUAGAUAUGCGGAGGAACACCAAUGGCGAAGGCAAUCCCCUGGGCCUGUACUGACGCUCAUGCACGAAAGCGUGGGGAGCAAACAGGAUUAGAUACCCCAGU
rnacentral:rRNA from 1 species